AUGCGUCCUCCCACACAAUGUUAACAUUUUGGGCGAAAUAAACGAAACGCGGUUAAAGAUUUAUAUUAUUACACACACACGUCCGAGUUUAUUCCACCAUAAUAAUUCUAAACAUUUUAUCGCUGUACAGGAAUUUUUAUCGUACUAAAUUGGUAAAAACAGCGGGUUUUACCGUUUUGUGUGCCCGUCGCACUUCACUAAAUCUACCUAUAGAACCGUGCAAAUUUCAGCUGGGUUAUGUGGAGAGUCAGAAUGAGAGUGUUUUAGAAAGCUACCAAACAUAGUUUAGCUGUAACUCACACUCACAGGCACAGUCCGCACAUCACAGUUAUUUCUGUUUCUGCUGAUUUCGAGGUCUGUUCGCUUUAAAAUGGUGGGCCUCCCAAGUCUUUCUAAAGUCAGGAACCCUUUUAAGAUUUUUUUGAAAAAUGUCGUCUCCACCACGUCACCAGGUAGCUUGCAAACGUUGGCUGGUGAAAUAAUAAAAUUUCUAAAUAUACAUUCGACUCCAGUCAUUUAACACUGAUAUUAUUCCGCGAAUACAAGAAAAUAGAAAUGGAGUUUUGCUUACUAUCAAAUGAAGAAAGGUUCAUCUUCCGAAACUCCAAACAUGAAAUUCUACAAUUAUUGAAGCAAAAAAUAUUGCAGGCCGCAGUAGGAUCUCCUAGUUGGAGACAGAAUUUUUUUUUUUGUAUGUGCUCACACCAUUAACGAAUGAAAUUAGCGAACUAUUUAUAUAAGAACUUCUUUUUUUCGUCAUAUUUUCUACUGCAUAGAGCUGAGGAGUUCAGGAAUGCCAAGUGAUAGUCAAUGCAGAUUUGAGCUGGACUAGUUGCCCUCCAAACAGAAUUUCGACAAUUCUAAAUGUAAGUAAUUCUGCCACUUUUUAACAGUAGGUAUAUAAUUAAAAAUAGCUUCAAAUUGCUUAUUUUCGAUGCGGAUUAAGUCGCUAAGAACAUAUCAGUUCACUGCUUAAGGAGUAUAGUAAAUCUUGUUGGAAUGCGACACAUUUGAAUGUAAUCAGCAAAUACAUUUCGUAUGGCGUGUUAAUGAAAAAUGAUUUAAACUGGGUUUUGCGCAUGCAAAAUAAGCAAAAAUGGAAUGUUUAAUGCAAACAGUUGCGGAGUGGUGUGUGUACCUACCGAACUAAAAAUAUCGAUGCACAUGCAGGUGAUUCGGUGCAUUACGCAAAUUCUGUAAUUGCACAGUUGAAAAAUGAAAAUGCUAAACUACAAGCUGGAUCUAAACAAGCGAAGUGCUUAAUUUCAUAGGUGUUAUUUCAGCAACAGAUACUUUUGGUAUGUAGCUGCUCAAGUUCAACCGUUACGCUGAUUUAGGCCGGACUGAUGCAAAAAAAUUCACCUCCAUAAUUCAGCGAAUCCUCAGUUCACUAAACCGUCUUUUAGCUUUGGAAAACAUCGCUUCGUUCAUAAAAUSUUGAGUCGAGGAGCAUUUAAUUCUUGACAGGUAAAGCCUCCAACCAUGAUGAAAUCAAGGAAAGCACGGAAAAGGAAGAGCAGUUGAUCUGGAAUACUCAAAGAAAAUGUAUCCUGAAAUAUUAAAGUUUGGUAGUUCAAUGCGAUUUAAAUAGGUUUUAAAGACAAAAAUUGUUGGCCAGUUUUGGUACCAAUGUUACCGGGUUGCAGUCUGACCUUCUUUCAUUUGUAUCGUUAUCGUGUGCUUAUCUUGUUAAUUAGCUUUUGAAAUUUGCAUCUAAUUGAAAAUGAAACCCUGAAUUUUA